UGAGGAAUAUUGGUCAAUGGGCGAGAGCCUGAACCAGCCAAGUAGCGUGCAGGACGACGGCCCUAUGGGUUGUAAACUGCUUUUAUGUGGGGAUAAAGUGCGUGACGUGUCAUGCAUUGCAGGUACCACAUGAAUAAGGACCGGCUAAUUCCGUGCCAGCAGCCGCGGUAAUACGGAAGGUCCGGGCGUUAUCCGGAUUUAUUGGGUUUAAAGGGAGCGUAGGCUGUCUAUUAAGCGUGUUGUGAAAUAUACCGGCUCAACCGGUGGCUUGCAGCGCGAACUGGUCGACUUGAGUAUGCAGGAAGUAGGCGGAAUUCAUGGUGUAGCGGUGAAAUGCUUAGAUAUCAUGACGAACUCCGAUUGCGAAGGCAGCUUACGGGAGCGCAACUGACGCUGAAGCUCGAAGGUGCGGGUAUCGAACAGG
rnacentral:rRNA from 1 species